UUAUCUCAUGGAUACACACCACAGCUUGAUGAAGCAUUCUACUGAUGUUCUGGACUGUCUGGAAAUGAGAACCUAAUAACAGAAGUCCUUAUGCCACCAGACCCCAUGGAUGAAAUAUCAAACGGAAAAGAACAGAAGCGCUUCUGGGAUGUCAUGUGACAUUGCUUGGAGGGACAGAGUGACAGAAUUAAGGAAAACUGUGAGAGAGAGAAGAGCAUGAGAAUGGCUCGCGCCGACCCGCCCAACCCCUUUUCCCCGUGUAAUUCAUCUGAAAGUUCGGUAAGUCCCGCUUUUUACAAGCGGCCUUCAUUCAAGCUGACAGCUGUGACCGACACAUCCGGAAAAGCACAGGUAAGUAAUUUUACCCGUCAAUGGCCUUUUCGG